GAACCUGGACCCUCAGACACAAAAGGUCAGGACCACAGACUGAGAGCAGAGUCUCCAGGAUCCAGCUGUCCGCCUAUGAAGAGAGCAAGAUUUUCAGCAGAUAGUGGUCUGCAGGAGGUUUUAGAUGA